GACGAACGCUGGCGGCGUGCUUAACACAUGCAAGUCGAACGGAAAGGCCCUGCUUUUGUGGGGUGCUCGAGUGGCGAACGGGUGAGUAACACGUGAGUAACCUGCCCUUGACUUUGGGAUAACUUCAGGAAACUGGGGCUAAUACCGGAUAGGAGCUCCUGCUGCAUGGUGGGGGUUGGAAAGUUUCGGCGGUUGGGGAUGGUCUCGCUGCUUAUCCGCUUGUUGGUGGGGUAGUGGCUUACCAAGGCUUUGACGGGUAGCCGGCCUGAGAGGGUUACCGGCCACAUUGGGCCUGAGAUACGGCCCAGACUCCUACGGGAGGCAGCAGUGGGGAAUAUUGCACAAUGGGCGGAAGCCUGAUGCAGCAACGCCGCGUGCGGGAUGACGGCCUUCGGGUUGUAAACCGCUUUCGCCUGUGACGAAGCGUGAGUGACGGUAAUGGGUAAAGAAGCACCGGCUAACUACGUG
rnacentral:rRNA from 1 species